UACGUAGGGGGCAAGCGUUAUCCGGAUUUACUGGGUGUAAAGGGAGCGUAGACGGCUAUGCAAGUCUGGUGUGAAAACCCGGGGCUCAACCCCGGGACUGCAUUGGAAACUGUGUAGCUUGAGUGUCGGAGAGGUAAGUGGAAUUCCUAGUGUAGCGGUGAAAUGCGUAGAUAUUAGGAGGAACACCAGUGGCGAAGGCGGCUUACUGGACGAUAACUGACGUUGAGGCUCGAAAGCGUGGGGAGCAAACAGG
rnacentral:rRNA from 1 species